AGUGAACGCUGGCGGUAGGCCUAACACAUGCAAGUCGAACGGCAGCACAGUAAGAGCUUGCUCUUACGGGUGGCGAGUGGCGGACGGGUGAGGAAUACAUCGGAAUCUACUUUUUCGUGGGGGAUAACGUAGGGAAACUUACGCUAAUACCGCAUACGACCUACGGGUGAAAGCAGGGGAUCUUCGGACCUUGCGCGAUUGAAUGAGCCGAUGUCGGAUUAGCUAGUUGGCGGGGUAAAGGCCCACCAAGGCGACGAUCCGUAGCUGGUCUGAGAGGAGGAUCAGCCACACUGGAACUGAGACACGGUCCAGACUCCUACGGGAGGCAGCAGUGGGGAAUAUUGGACAAUGGGCGCAAGCCUGAUCCAGCCAUACCGCGUGGGUGAAGAAGGCCUUCGGGUUGUAAAGCCCUUUUGUUGGGAAAGAAAAGCAGCAGGUUAAUACCCCGCUGUUCUGACGGGACCCAAAGAAUAAGCACCGGCUAACUUCGU
rnacentral:rRNA from 1 species